GAUGAACGCUGGCGGCGUGCCUAAUACAUGCAAGUCGAGCGAACAGAUGAGGAGCUUGCUCCUCUGACGUUAGCGGCGGACGGGUGAGUAACACGUGGAUAACCUACCUAUAAGACUGGUAUAACUUCGGGAAACCGGAGCUAAUACCGUAUAAUAUAUUGAACCGCAUGGUUCAAUAGUGAAAUACGGUUUUUCUGUCACUUAUAGAUGGAUCAGCGCCGCAUUAGCUAGUUGGUAAGGUAACGGCUUACCAAGGCAACGAUGCGUAGCCGAACUGAGAGGCUGGUAGGCCACACUGGAACUGAGACACGGUCCAGAGUACUACGGGAGGGAGCAGAAGGGUAUGUUACGCAACGGGCGAAAGCAUGACGCAACAACGGCAAGUGAGUGAUAACGGUCUUGGGAUCGUAAAACCCUGUUAUUAGUGAAGAACCAAUGUGUAAGUAACUAUGCCCGUAUUGACGGUAACUAAUAAGAAAGCAACGGCUAACUACGUG
rnacentral:rRNA from 1 species